CAACUGCACCACUCUUCCUCUGCACAGGUUUUGUUAAAUCCCCCCCAAUGUGACCGUCUGUGAGCCCUAAGGGUUUCAUCUGAAUGAAUGAGAAAGAUUCCAGCGCUGGCAAUAGGUAAAAUGAUCUGCGGGAAGAGUGAACUCACUUUGCUAAAUGUACAUGGUCUGCAAUCAAUGGGUUGAACAGACAUGAGAAAAGCAUGGCUCAGCAAAAAGAUAGCAGAGUUAUUAGAGGAAAAGGCUGGACUUACGAUUUAAUGGAGUAAAAUAACCUGCAAUAUAAAUCUGCAAGCUGAUAGAAGUAGAGAAAUGAUAAAUCAACCGAAAAGUCCAUAAAAAACCUGAUUAAUUGGAAGAGCUAACAGCUGAGCUCUCCGCAGUGCUACUGUCUUAAUUCUCCAUCUGGAGGUGGAAACAACCUCCCCAACAACUUUAUUUUUCACAUAAGGAACAAAUCAUUUUUUUCUUUGUAUUCUGGGGACCAGUGAAUCUUACUGUUCCGUUCACUGUCCGUAUCCAUAGUAAAUCUAGCGGCUUCUGUAUAGCUGACGUGAGCGCUCACCUGC